GGUGAUGAUGUGACUCUCUUCUACUGCUUGGGUUCUGUCCAAGAGAUUGUGAUGUAUCACUGGGCCAAGAGGCUAGGUGAUGUGACUCUCCUCUCCUGCCUGGGCCCUGCAUACAUUUUACAUUGUGACAUAUGGCUGGGAUCAAAACAUAGGUGAUGCAACUCUUUUGCCUGUGCUUUGCCCGCAAGGGUAUUAUGACAUGUUAUUUUGUUCAUCACCUAGGUGAUGUGACUCUUUCCUUCUGCCUGGGCCCUGACAAAAAAGGGGAUUGGAGCGUGUCACUUGACCCAACACCUAGGGGUGAUGUGACUGUCUUAUUUGCCUGCACCUUGCAUAUAUCGGGUAUUGAGUCCUAUGGCUGAGCCCUACAUGAAUGGGAUUUAAGACUCCUGCCUUGGCCCUGCCAACAGGGGGCAUUGUAAAGUAUCCCUGCAUCUGUCACUGAGAUGUGACUCUCCUGUUCUGCCUGCAUCCUGCCUAUAAGGAAGAUUGUGACAUAUUGCUGGGUCCACGAUUGAGACAAUGUGUCUUUCCUGCCUGGGUAUUGCCUACAGGGAGCAUUGUGACAUAUCACUGGGCCCAGCAUGCAGGUAUUGUGACUCUGCUUUCUUUGCCCUGAUUUCCAGAAGGAAUUGUGACAUUUCCCUGGCCUGGUACCCAGAUGAUGUGACUCUCCUGGUGCCAGUCCUCAGGGAAUAUUGUAACACGUCUUUUUCCCAGCACCCAGGUUCUGCCCACAAGGGAGAUUUUGACUUAUUGCUGUCCUCAAAAUGAAGGUGAUGUGACACUUUUGCCUUGGACCCACCCUUGAAGACAUUGUGACAUAUUUCUUAGCUCAGCAUCAAAACGAUGUGUCUUCUUAGUAGACUCUGCCAACAUGGGGCAUUGUGACAUAUCUUUGGGCCCAUCAGCUAUUGAUGUAACUCUCUUCUCUUACAUGGACUUUGCUCACAGAAGAGACUAUGAAAUAUCUCUGGGCCCAGCAAAUAGGUGAUGUGACUCUUCUCUACUGCUUGGGCUCUGCUCAUGAGAAAAUUGUGAUGGAUUGCUGAACCCAGCACCUAGGUAAUGUAACUCUCUUCUCUUGCCUGGGCCCGGCAUAAAUUGUGUAUUGUGACAUGGGGCUCGAUCACAAACCUAGGUAAUGCUACUCUCUUGCAUUGGCUCUGCCCACCAGGGUAUUAUGACACAACUUUUCAUUCAUCGCCUAGGCGAUGUGACCCCCCGCUUCUGCUUGAAUCUUGCCAAAAGAGGAAAUGAUAACAUAUCACUAUACUCAGCACCUAGGUGCCAUGACUUGCCUUUUUCCCCAGGCAAUGCAUAUAUUGGGAAUUAUGACAUAUCACUGGACCCAACAUGUAGGGAAUAAAAGACUCCUGCCUGUGUUCUGCUGACCUAGAACCUUGUGAAAUAUCUCUGCAUCUAUCACCCAGAGAAUCUGACUCUCCUUUUCUGCAUGUACCCUGUCCACAAGAAAGAUUGUGACAUGUCAC
rnacentral:lncRNA from 1 species